rnacentral:lncRNA from 1 species
GUUUGGUGAACGUGGAGUCUGUGACCGUUUGGUUUUUCAAACUUUGUUUUAGUUGCUCUUGGUCCGAAACUGUGUGUCCAGCUCCAUAGAAGAUGGAAAACUCGUGCGAUGGGCUGGGCUGUAGCUCAGUGAUAGCUGAGCCAGCAUGGGGCAGGCUCUAAGGAGGAACCAGUGUGGAGAACCGGGAUGCUGAGCCGGAGGUGGCGGGAGUCUGAUGCAAGAAUGGACUAAAAGUACCAACCCAGCCAGGGCUAAAUAAUGAGUCUGUGUCUAAAAUAAAACAAAAGUUGAAAAAAAAACCGGGCGUGGUGCCUCCCGCCUUUAAUCCCAGAACUUGGGAGGCAGAGGCAAACAGAUUUACGUGAGUUCGAGACCAGCUUGUUUAACAUAGUGAAGUGUAAGACUGAGACAGGGCUAUGUGGAGAGGUCCUGUCUUGGGGCGGGGGACGGGGGAGAUGAAGAGAUGUCCCAGCAAUUGAGAGCGUUUGCAGCUCUUAAAGAGUACUUGGGUUGGACUCCCAGCACCCACAUACAAGGCAGCUCGCCCAUCCGUAACUGAUUUCAUGGGGUUGGAUACUCUCCUCUGACCUCUAGAGGGACCAGGCACAUACACGUUGCACAUAGAGCCAUGCAGGCAAAAACUCUCAUACACAUAUAAAAUUAUCUUUAACCAUAUAUCUUCUAAGUACAAUUCCAUGCAUAACCAUGGAAAACUAUUCCCAGAGCCAAACCGUUUUGCCAGCAAUGGUCUACCUCCGUACAAGGUGUUCGUGUCCCUCACAAACAGUAUAGCUCUUGUGAUUGUUCUAAAUCCAACGCCUGUGUGCAGUGCUCAGAGUGGCCAAAGGAGGGCGUUGGGUCGACUGGACCCAUUUUGAAAUUUAUAGCAAAUGCAGCUUUGCCCUUCAACUUCCUGUCACGGAGGAGGGAAAGGUUCAUGAGAUUCUCACCCCUCUCUAAGAAUUUUUAUGCAGUUGAUGGUUGAUGGGUGGUGUGUUUCUGCUCGGAUGAAAGGGUAUUCUGGAACUCAGAUGCCUAGGAACCAAGGGAAAAGGUAUCCCAGUGGAAGAGCAUCCCGGGCCAUGGGAGCCCAGGAACCACACAUCUCCGAGAGGAAGUCUUCUCAGCAGAAGCAUUUCAGCUCCAAAGGGUAUCCCCAGCUGAGCUCAGGAGCUCGGGAACCUCAGCCCUGGUCCACAUCGUCCCUUCUUCCCUUCUCUUCACAGCAUCUUUUCUUCUCAUGAAAGAGAUGUAUUGGAGGGUCCAGGGAUUGGUGGAAUCUCAAGUUCUGAGCUUGGGGAGCUCAGAGAUUGGUGGCUUUUUUUUUUCACCCACUUUUCCCUGCAUCAGGCCCAUGGAUUAGGGUGGGAAGUCCUUCCCAGCCGCAGCUGGCUUUGGCUGAGGUCCCAUGCCUGGACAGGCUGGAGAGGAGGUGCUGUCACCGUGAACAGCUCUGGGGGACAGCUCACGCAGUGGUCUUUCACCAAAGUUGAGACAGGGAAGAAGGUGUUGCCACCGUGGACAGCUCCUCAUAACGGCAGUAGGCUGAGGCAGGAAAGGUGUCACCCUGAACAGCUCCUGCUGAGGUGGGAAAGGAAAUGCUCCAAUGUGGACAGUUCCUGUGAUGGCUGCAAGCUGAGAUAGCGUGGUGCCAUUUUGACAGAAGCCGCCAUUUUGACAGCCCUAUGCGGGUAUAGGGGGUAUAGGAGCUGGUGGUCACUUUGAGGGCUUUUGCAACACAGCUUAGGGAUUACAGUGGAAAGGGUUAUUGUGUAGCAAUUAAAUUGAAACAUUCUAUCCUGGGUGGAUAGUCCUUCUGACUCCUCCAGUAAACAAUGGAGUGUGGAGAGAUGACUUAGUGGUUAAGAGCCAGAGGACAGGGGUUGGGGAUUUAGCUCAGUGGUAGAGCGCUUGCCUAGGAAGCGCAAGGCCCUGAGUUCGGUCCCCAGCUCCGAAAAAAAAAGAACCAAAAAAAAAAAAAAAAAAAAGA